UCAUUCAUUUCAUUUUCUCGUUUUCACUGGUUCUCGUCCGAUCACCGAAGUUAAGCAAUGUCAGGCCCGGUCAGUACUUGGGAGGGUGAAUACCUGGGAACACCGGGUGCUGUAGGCU